CCUACGGGUGGCAGCAGUGAGGAAUAUUGGUCAAUGGACGAGAGUCUGAACCAGCCAAGUAGCGUGAAGGAUGACUGCCCUAUGGUUUGUAAACUUCUUUUAUAUGGGAAUAAAAUGUUCCACGUGUGGGAUUUUGUAUGUACCAUAUGAAUAAGGAACGGCUAACUCCGUGCCAGCAGCCGCGGUAAUACGGAGGAUCCGAGCGUUAUCCGGAUUUAUUGGGUUUAAAGGGAGCGUAGGUGGAUUGUUAAGUCAGUUGUGAAAGUUUGCGGCUCAACCGUAAAAUUGCAGUUGAAACUGGCAGUCUUGAGUACAGGAGAGGUGGGCGGAAUUCGUGGUGUAGCGGUGAAAUGCUUAGAUAUCACGAAGAACUCCGAUUGCGAAGGCAGUUCACUGGACUGCAACUGACACUGAGGCUCGAAAGUGUGGGUAUCAAACAGGAUUAGAUACCCCAGUAGUC
rnacentral:rRNA from 1 species